CUACGGGACGCUGCAGUGAGGAAUAUUGCACAAUGGGGGGAACCCUGAUCCAGCAAUGCCGCGUGUGUGAAGAAGGCCUGAGGGUUGUAAAGCACUUUCAAUAGGAAGGAAUACCUAUCGGUUAAUACCCGGUAGACUGACAUUACCUAUACAAGAAGCACCGGCUAACUCCGUGCCAGCAGCCGCGGUAAUACGGAGGGUGCAAGCGUUAAUCGGAAUUACUGGGCGUAAAGCGUGCGUAGGCGGUUUUUUAAGUCAGAUGUGAAAGCCCUGGGCUUAACCUGGGAACUGCAUUUGAUACUGGAGGACUAGAGUUGAGUAGAGGAGAGUGGAAUUUCAGGUGUAGCGGUGAAAUGCGUAGAGAUCUGAAGGAACACCAGUGGCGAAGGCGGCUCUCUGGACUCAAACUGACGCUGAGGUACGAAAGCGUGGGUAGCAAACAGGAUUAGAUACCCUAGUAGUC
rnacentral:rRNA from 1 species